rnacentral:lncRNA from 1 species
GACCACACAUAAGCCCACUCCUUGCAAGUCCAUACAUAGGCACACCCAUUUGAAGUCCACCAAGAUUUGGCCCACGUUUUGUGAGUCCACCAUGCGUAGGCCCACCCCUCGCAAGCCUAUUACGCAUGCAUCUACCCGAGCAAGUCCAUUAUGCAUAAAUCCAACCCUUAUGUUUUUAGCUAUCCCAUCUUGAGCUUGUUGCAUUCCAACUCUAUUCCUGUUUGUUGCUUCACCAAUGACUCUGUGUACUAUCCUAGUAGGAUUCCUUGAUGGACCAGUAGAAAACUAUUUGAUAUGCUAGCUUUAUUCCCACUUUUUCUCUUUACCUAUAGCAUAAGAGGCAUACAUAAGAGAGGGCAUAGUGAGUAUUUCAUAAUAUGAUUUAAAGUGCCGUGGCACGGGGGCGUGCCGCUGUCCGCCUGGCAAGGUACGGCACCGGCACGCUUGCGUGCCGACACAUGGUACGCUUGCGUGCCGAUGGAUACGCACCACCUCCUACUGGCAUGCUUUGGCACGGACUUAUUUCAGUUUUUUUAAUUUCAAUAAGCUCUUAUAAUAUUAUUUUGAAAGAAUUAAUUAAAUAAUAAUUAUGAAUAUUUGCUAUGUAUAGUUUACUA